rnacentral:rRNA from 1 species
GACGAACGCUGGCGGCGUGCUUAACACAUGCAAGUCGAACGGAAAGGCCCUGCUUUUGUGGGGUGCUCGAGUGGCGAACGGGUGAGUAACACGUGAGUAACCUGCCCUUGACUUUGGGAUAACUUCAGGAAACUGGGGCUAAUACCGGAUAGGAGCUCCUGUUGCAUGGUGGGGGUUGGAAAGUUUCGGCGGUUGGGGAUGGACUCGCGGCUUAUCAGCUUGUUGGUGGGGUAGUGGCUUACCAAGGCUUUGACGGGUAGCCGGCCUGAGAGGGUGACCGGCCACAUUGGGACUGAGAUACGGCCCAGACUCCUACGGGAGGCAGCAGUGGGGAAUAUUGCACAAUGGGCGGAAGCCUGAUGCAGCAACGCCGCGUGCGGGAUGACGGCCUUCGGGUUGUAAACCGCUUUCGCCUGUGACGAAGCGUGAGUGACGGUAAUGGGUAAAGAAGCACCGGCUAACUACGUGCCAGCAGCCGCGGUGAUACGUAGGGUGCGAGCGUUGUCCGGAUUUAUUGGGCGUAAAGGGCUCGUAGGUGGUUGAUCGCGUCGGAAGUGUAAUCUUGGGGCUUAACCCUGAGCGUGCUUUCGAUACGGGUUGACUUGAGGAAGGUAGGGGAGAAUGGAAUUCCUGGUGGAGCGGUGGAAUGCGCAGAUAUCAGGAGGAACACCAGUGGCGAAGGCGGUUCUCUGGGCCUUUCCUGACGCUGAGGAGCGAAAGCGUGGGGAGCGAACAGGCUUAGAUACCCUGGUAGUCCACGCUGUAAACGGUGGGUACUAGGUGUGGGGUCCAUUCCACGGGUUCCGUGCCGUAGCUAACGCUUUAAGUACCCCGCCUGGGGAGUACGGCCGCAAGGCUAAAACUCAAAGGAAUUGACGGGGCCCCGCACAAGCGGCGGAGCAUGCGGAUUAAUUCGAUGCAACGCGUAGAACCUUACCUGGGUUUGACAUGGAUCGGAAGCGCGCAGAGAUGGGUGUGCCUCUUUUGGGGUCGGUUCACAGGUGGUGCAUGGCUGUCGUCAGCUCGUGUCGUGAGAUGUUGGGUUAAGUCCCGCAACGAGCGCAACCCUUGUUCACUGUUGCCAGCACGUUAUGGUGGGGACUCAGUGGAGACCGCCGGGGUCAACUCGGAGGAAGGUGGGGAUGACGUCAAGUCAUCAUGCCCCUUAUGUCCAGGGCUUCACGCAUGCUACAAUGGCUGGUACAGAGAGUGGCGAGCCUGUGAGGGUGAGCGAAUCUCGGAAAGCCGGUCUCAGUUCGGAUUGGGGUCUGCAACUCGACCUCAUGAAGUCGGAGUCGCUAGUAAUCGCAGAUCAGCAACGCUGCGGUGAAUACGUUCCCGGG